rnacentral:lncRNA from 1 species
AUGAACAUUGGCUUGUGUAGCAGGGCCUUUCCUCCAGGGCCCCUACCCCCACCCCGCCAUUCCCGGGCUCUGAUCUGUGAGGUGAAAUUCCUCCGUCUGGAAAGUACAGGAGGGGCCGUGACUGUCCUGCUGCCUCGGUGGACGCAGGGCUCUCCUGCCAGGCAGGCCCUGGGUGCUGGCGGAAGGCCGUCCGGUCCACUCUGGGAAGACUGUAGUGGCUACGAAGCCCCAGGUCUCUGCAGUCCCUCUCUCAUGGUCAGCGCUCCGUGGUGGCCCCAUGCCUUCCCCUCAGUGCUGAGUGCCCCCGCCUGGGCCAUGCCUCCCCCAAGCGGUGCCCCCAGCAGUCCCGGUUGGAGGCACACAGCGCCCAGUGCAUUCCUGAUGUGCAGGGCCUCUCCUGAGCUCUCAGAGGAGGCCGGGCCCAUGGACUUAUUCCUCGUGACUCCAGGCCUUCUGGAGCAUUGGCAUAGUGUGAGCCUGUCGUGGGACGAGGAGGCUGCGGUGUGUCCAGCUCACUUCACAGAGGCCCCGUGUCCCUGUGUGUGUGGGCCAGCGGCAGAGAGCCAUGCUCUGGGCCCGGGUCGGCAGGCCCGUCUGGCCCAUUUCCAUCCGUCCCCCUUGUCUCACGCCCUGGCUCCAGGCCCACAGGUGUUCCUGCUGCUGCAGAGCGGCCCACACACAAUUCUUCCGCGUGCUCUGCUCUCACGGCCGGGCCUCACCGUCUGGGCCCGCCGCAGCCAUCCAGAUGCGGGCGAGACGCUGUGUCCUGGGAAGGUCUGUGGGCCGCAGGACCACCACCUGGGGGUCAAGGUUCCUCAGGAGAGGGCGGGUGCCCUCCCCUGCAGAGCAGGCUGCGGGGCCCCGUGUCUCAGCUGCGUCGGGAUGGUCCACACCCGGGUGCCCUCCCCUGCAGAGCAGGCUGCGGGGCCCCGUGUCUCAGCUGGGUCAGGAUGGUCCACACCCGGGUGCCCUCCCCUGCAGAGCAGGCUGCGGGGCCCCGUGUCUCAGCUGGGUCGGGAUGGUCCACACCCGGGUGCCCUCCCCCUGCAGAGCAGGCUGCGGGGCCCCGUGUCUCAGCUGCGUCGGGAUUGUCCACACCCGCAUCCGGCACCCUUCCCGUCGCAGCCUGAUUGCGGGCUCAGACUCUGGGCUCCUUCCAGAGGGAAUUCGAGACACACGGAGGGUGCUUCAUGGAGGAGGCAAAACAGAAAGGAAGUACGUUUUUAA